rnacentral:tRNA from 1 species
GAUCCGAUAGCUCAGCUGGAUAGAGCAACAGCCUUCUAAGCUGUGGGACGUGGGUUCGAAUCCCUCUCGGAUCACUA